UUAUGAAAUUUUCGAGUAGAAAUUUUUUUGAAUUUUUUUUUUCGAUUUUUUAUUAUUUAUCUUAUUUAAAGCAUUAUUUGAGUGAAAAGAAGCUUAUUGCAUUCGGUUGGCAUUAAAAUAAAUCAAUUUUUAAUAUUUUGAAAAUUACUCCAAAAAAUUAAGGCUACAGCCUUUUGAAAUUUUCAAAUUUUUAAAAUGUUUUUAUUUUUUUAUAUUUUUUAUAACGACGGCUGGAAAAUGAAUUAUAGAAGAAGGUUUAUUGAAUGAAAAUGAUGAGAUAGACAAGCUGUUCGAACUUUGCAAUAAAUUAUCGCAUUUUUUGCAUAAUAAAGUGAUCAGUUCAGCAAUUGGCGCUAAGUAAAGUGUUGUCGGUUGCAUUCAACUGACCAGGAAAAAAUAUUCUACUCAGCAAAACUCCACACCAUUUGUUAGAUGCAAGGGGAAAACAAAACAACACCCCAAAUCUAUCCGUAUGGCGACCACAGCAAGGAUGCGGUUAAACCGGUGGCAAAUAAAAGGAUUUACCCUCGUUUAAUUUUUCCCCUGUUCGCCUAACUAGCUAUUGCAUGUAAAACCACCUUCGAACCAAAGACAAAUAAUGUAACUUGUGCAACAGGGCAAGACGGAAAAAAAGGAAAACAAAAGCAAACCGAACACAGAUGGAACUCAUCCAACCAACCUCCGACCGGGUCAUAUGGUCUGGGAGCAGAGUGUGCCUGGAAAGUGGACCAACCAGUGGUAUCGUUAGCGCUUCCACUAUUGUACUGCCGCUUUACCGUCAAUUGUCUUGCGACGCACACGGAGAAUGCAUUGGGGCGCAACAAAGCUGCUGCUGCUGCUGCUGGUGUCGCUGCAAUAAUGCACGUAAUUGCAUUUAAUUAGCUGCAACAGGAGUCGAUUGUGACGGAAUCGAAAAAGCAAACAAAAAAGGAAGUAAAAUAGUGCGUGUGAUGCUAGUGCUUUUAAUUGAAUCCUUUCUCAGUUUUUUUGUCUUUCCUUGUAGAGUGGAUCAGGGCUGUCAAACCAAGGAAUGCUCUAGGAGGUUUAGUUGUCAUACACACAAUAGCCGUUUUUCCGAUGUACCCGUCGAUCAUUCAAUAUUCUGAAUAAUACCGCAGGAGACAACAACCCUCCAGGAAAAGGAUAUCUAAGGAUGUACAAACAUUAACGGUGCGGUUUAUAAUAGCAGAUUAGCUACAGCAAUCGAGAUGGGUAUGUGUAUUUUUUUUUGUGUUCUCAAAGUUCCUUGCGAUAUUUGUUCUUUCCUUGGUUUUCUGAAGUUGCUACAUAAAAGAUCCUUUCUGCACUCGAUAUGCCUUGCCCCCGGAACGAAAUUGAUCACGCACGCAGCUGAUAGAUCACUUGAUUUCCGUACAAUACGCUCCGGUGUAAGCUGUCAGUGCAUCGGAUUCACAUUUGAACACCGUACGGCUAUAAUCGAUAAUAGACAUCUGCACACAAAUUGUUGCACAAUAAAACCGAUCGGUUGCUUCCGUCCGUGGGGAAAUAUACCAAUUCGGUGCAAUAAAAUUAACACGAACGAACAACAAACGAACAACAAACGGCGCAUUACAACACAACUAAACACACAAAACUCAUCUAUCAUCAAACAUCAGGGCUGCCAAAGAUAGAGAAAGGGGAACGAAAAAAACAACAGAGAAACAACAGAGAAGGGAGUGGAAGCGAGGGGAAAAGGGAUACAGAAACUACAAAUCCGUAAAGUUAUAAAAGAUGAAAGCAAAAUUGUGUCGUAAAUUAAUAAUCACACACAGAAACAUACAGCCACACGAACCUUUCGUCUUUUCUAAGCGGCAUGAAAAUGCGGUAGAAUGGGCGUGAAAUGGUGACCCGUCCCGAACAAGGCGGAAGAGGGCGGGAAAUGGGCUAACGCGAACAAAAGUGGAAAGGUGGGAAGUAAGUUAAAGGCAUGACUCUCAACUUUUCGGUACACCAAGCACCUCAAUGCUGGUGUGCCGUGGUUCUGAAGCGCGUGGCAUAGAAGAAGCUUGCUCUACGGACAGUGGUCGGCAAGUCUUUUUAGCCCACGAUAGCAGAAUACUGGUUGUGGAGAUAAGAAUAUUUACAAACUUCAGGUCAUUAAAGUUCUACCCAACUUCAAUAUCUCUUAAAUACUCUCAUCGUCCGGGAUUGAGCAUCUUCAAGAAGAUUAGUUAUUAUAUUGUACGUAAUUAUAAUUUAACUACAUUAAAGUCUCUCUAAGAUGCACACCGACGGGACUGUCAUCUUAAGGAGAUCUCCAGCUUAGAGUAUUAAACAAGUCAUAAACUGACGUUAACUCAACUCUGUUUGAGAAUGCCAUCUUGGAGAGGUUUUGCAUCUUAAAGAGACAUAAAUUAUAUGGAAAACGAUAGUCAAAAAUGUUCAUAUUAGAGAAACUUUCUUCCUAUUUCAAUGUAUUUCAUUUUGAACGAUUUAAAUAUCUCACAGACGACUUACUUAUCUCUCAACUUUUCUUUUCUUUUACUUCUCAGGAACGACCAGCCCGUCUUCGCUCAGGGUCGAGCAUGUCCACACGGCCAAGUCUCCAACUCGCUUCCAGGAAACUCAGUCCGGGGCUGCAGUCCUCCAUCCACGGCUGCAUCCGAUCUCCGACUGGUUCGACUCCACCUGAUCCAGCCAACGAGCUUGCUGUGCUCCGACGACGUCUCGUGCCGAACGGGUCGCUGACGAACACCUUCCUGGUGGGGCAUGGGUCCGGCAUCCUCAUCACGUGCCCCAGCCAUCCUGUCCUUCCGGCAUUGGCCACCAUCAGGAUAUCUGAUAUCACACCGCCAAAGAUAGUGCUCAACACCUGCCGAUCGAACAUAGCGAGUGCAUUGGCAUCCUCCGUUAGCAGAGUCCACUACUCGUACCCGUAAACGACUACCGGACGUAUCAGUGUGCGAUAUAUCGUACACUUCGUGUGUUGCUGGAGCCUUCUGACUAGCCUUGGACCAGCCCGUAUUGAGACAUAGUUUUACCACGUAGCCAGAUACUCCGUGCUUGCUGUGGGGAACGUUCCGGAUGGGAUUUGAUACCCGGUCCUGUCCGCGUGGACCGGCGUCGUAUAUGAACUCUUCUUUAGGCAACAGGGUUGCGCCACCGGGCGCAUGAAAUAUUUCAUUAAAUAUAUGUACCUCUGUUUUUAGGUAAUAACUUAAGUAUUAAUUAUUGCACAAGUAUGCAAAGUAUUUGAAAAAGA